rnacentral:lncRNA from 1 species
AUGACUUUUUUUUCUUUUUUUAAAGGUGGAAGGAAUCUAAAGAACUGGAUACAGGUGGACUUGUCUGCUGUGUGUUCACAGAUGUAUUCACUGACUAGUACUGCAAAUGCUCCACCUAUAAACCUUGCAGAAGAUACCACAAUUGGUAAGUAUUCAUUUUUGAAUUGCAUUUGUUUAAAUUACAAUUCAUCACUUUCCAUGCUUACGGAUAUAGGUGGGUUACCUUCAUGAGGUGCAACUCCACACAGUUAUGUUAAGUAAAUCUGAAUCAAUAAUCUUUCUGAGUGUGAUUCCUGCAUGGUAAAAAUAGGAACUGUUAGGGGCCCAGUUGAAAACUCACGAUAGGAAGAAUUUUCAUAGUUCACCUGACUAAACCCAACCCUUGUAACAAUCAGUCUGGUUCCUUUUCCUGUUUCCUCAGUGUAACAUUUGGCAUACCUUAUUUUAAAAAGUCACCACAGAAUAAUACCUACAAAAUGCCUUGCAAAUCAAGGGCUAACUAGUAUGUUUAGUAGAUAUCAAAGUAGUAUCACGGAAAAUAUUAAAACGUGAAUCAAAUGCAGUACCUUUAGAAACUUUCCAACUUUGAAAUACCAUGUUUUCAAUACUACAAAAUUUAAGGCAGUG